GCUGGGCAUGGUGGCGUGUGCCUGUAAUCCCAGCUACUUGGGAGGCUGAGGCAGGAGAAUCGCUUGAACCCGGGAGGCGGAGGUUGCAGUGAGCUGAGAUCAUGCCACUGCACUCCAGCCUGGGCGACAGAGUAAGACUCUGUCUCAA
rnacentral:SRP_RNA from 1 species